rnacentral:lncRNA from 1 species
CGGUGAGGCUCCUCUCUCUCUCCAAUGACCAUCCAACAUUGGAAAGCUUCUAGAAGUAUUUCGGCAGCACCUCCGCAUGGUAAUAGGAAAAAUAAAUAGUGAUCAGGGGGCAACAAUUUUUUAUAGGUGAACCAAUGAUCCGGAUGAACUGGUCUCCUUGUUGAUUUGUGACACUUGACACUAGUCUAACGCUCGAUCAG